CGCUCGUAGUGAACAAAAAAUUAAUUGCGUUUGUAACAAUUAAAUAGAUAAAAAAAAAAAAUCUGGAACGUCACAGCACGAGAGGAGUUCGAAACCAUGUGAAAUUCAGUAGGCAUUCGCGUCGAUUGGUCUAAAUCGUUUAUCGGUCGUUUGCGGAUCAGGUAAACAUUCAUCCUUCCGCCAUUACCGCCGCCGCAACGGUCACUGUGAAGUAGAUAGCAACGGCGUUACGAUUUACGAUUGCGCGCCUAUUGCACGCGUACGAACGUUAGUAUUUUGGACGU